rnacentral:rRNA from 1 species
CCCUUAGAUGUCCGGGGCCGCACGCGCGCUACACUGAAGGAAUCAGCGUGGCUUUCUCCCUGACCCGAAAGGGUUGGGAAACCCGUUGAAUCUCCUUCGUGAUAGGGAUUGGGGCUUGAAAUUGUUCCCCAUGAACGAGGAAUUCCCAGUAAGCGCGAGUCAUAAGCUCGCGUUGAUUACGUCCCUGCCCUUUGUACACACCGCCCGUCGCUCCUACCGAUUGGGUGAGCCGAUGAAACUCUCGGAUGUAGGCUAUUCAUAGCCCGCAGAAGAGAUUUGAAGCGUAGCGCUUAGAGGAAGGAGAAGUCGUAACA